rnacentral:rRNA from 1 species
ACGAACGCUGGCGGCGUGCCUAAUACAUGCAAGUAGAACGCUGAAGGCGGAGCUUGCUUCUCUGGAUGCGUUGCGAACGGGUGAGUAACGCGUAGGUAACCUGCCUGGUAGCGGGGGAUAACUAUUGGAAACGAUAGCUAAUACCGCAUAAUAGUAGAUGUUGCAUGACAUUUGCUUAAAAGGUGCAAUUGCAUCACUACCAGAUGGACCUGCGUUGUAUUAGCUAGUUGGUGAGGUAACGGCUCACCAAGGCGACGAUACAUAGCCGACCUGAGAGGGUGAUCGGCCACACUGGGACUGAGACACGGCCCAGACUCCUACGGGAGGCAGCAGUAGGGAAUCUUCGGCAAUGGACGGAAGUCUGACCGAGCAACGCCGCGUGAGUGAAGAAGGGUUUCGGAUCGUAAAGCUCUGUUGUAAGAGAAGAACGAGUGUGAGAGUGGAAAGUUCACACUGUGACGGUAUCUUACCAGAAAGGGACGGCUAACUACGUG